AUGGAGCAGGGCACUGCCACUCUGGUGUGUAUGGCCAGCGGGGGCUUCCCCUCAGCCUGGAGCCUGGGCUGGAAGGAGGUUUUUGUACGAGCACCUAAUGAGUCUGUAUCACUGUGGUGGACUUUCGGUGGAGGAACCAGACUCAACAUUGACUUGGGUGUGGUGCGACCCACCCUGACCCUCCUCCCCCCCUCCAGUGAAGAGCUGGAGCAGGGCACUGCCACUCUGGUGUGUAUGGCCAGCGGGGGCUUCCCCUCAGCCUGGAGCCUGGGCUGGAAGGUGGGGGGCAGCAUCAGGUCCUCAGGGGUGUCUCACAACCCGAUGGUCCUGGGGGGAACCGGCCACUACAGCUGGAGCAGCACCAUGAGCCUCCCUGCAGAUCAGUGGAGGAAGGCGGGCUCAGUGAGCUGUGAGGCCAGUCUGAACGGACAGAGCCCUGUCGCUCAAACCCUGGACCCUGACCUCUGCUCGGAGUAG